rnacentral:rRNA from 1 species
GACGAACGCUGGCGGCGUGCUUAACACAUGCAAGUCGAACGGAAAGGCCCCUUUGGGGGUACUCGAGUGGCGAACGGGUGAGUAACACGUGAGUAACCUGCCCUUGACUUCGGGAUAACUUCAGGAAACUGGGGCUAAUACCGGAUAGGAAUCCUUGCUUCAUGGGGGGGGUUGGAAAGCUUCGGCGGUUUUUGAUGGACUCGCGGCUUAUCAGCUUGUUGGUGGGGUAGUGGCUUACCAAGGCUUUGACGGGUAGCCGGCCUGAGAGGGCGACCGGCCACAUUGGGACUGAGAUAAGGCCCAGACUCCUACGGGAGGCAGCAGUGGGGAAUAUUGAACAAGGGGCGGAAGCCUGAUGCAGCAACGCCGCGUGCGGGAUGACGGCCUUCGGGUUGUAAACCGAUUUCAGCAGGGGCGAAGCUUGUGGUGACGGUACCUGCAGAAGAAGCACCGGCUAACUACGUG